rnacentral:rRNA from 1 species
UCGGGAAUUUUGCCCAAUGGACGAAAAUCUGAGGCAGCAACUCCGCGUGAGGGAUGAAGGCUCUCGGGUCGUAAACCUCUUUUCUCAGGGAAGAUCCAAGACGGUACCUGAGGAAUAAGCGACGGCUAACUACGUGCCAGCAGCCGCGGUAAUACGUAGGUCGCAAGCGUUGUCCGGAUUUACUGGGCGUAAAGAGCGCGCAGGCGGCUGGUCAAGUCCGAUGUGAAAUCUCCCGGCUCAACUGGGAAACUGCAUCGGAAACUGAUCGGCUUGAAGGUGGGAGAGGGUAGUGGAAUUCCCGGUGUAGUGGUGAAAUGCGUAGAUAUCGGGAGGAACACCAGUGGCGAAGGCGACUACCUGGCCCAUUCUUGACGCUGAGGCGCGAAAGCUAGGGGAGCGAACGGG